UUUUUCUCCUUGAGAAAACCGCUACCACAUCCAAGGAAGGCAGCAGGCGCGCAAAUUACCCACUCCCAGAACGGGGAGGUAGUGACGAAAAAUAACAAUACGGGACUCUUUUGAGACCCCGUAAUUGGAAUGAGUACACUCUAAAUCCUUUAACGAGGAUCCAUUGGAGAGCAAGUCUGGUGCCAGCAGUCGCGGUAAUUCCAGCUCCAAUAGCGUAUAUUAAAGUUGUUGCGGUUAAAAAGCUCGUAGUUGGAUCUCAGCUCCGGCCGGACGGUCCGCCUACCGGUGGUUACUGUUCGCAGCCGAGCGUUCAGGCGGUUAUUCUUGAUGAUCUUCACCGGUUGUCUCGGGUGACCGCCAAGUUUACUUUGAAAAAAUUAGAGUGCUCAAAGCAGACGCGACGUCUGAAUAUUUGUGCAUGGAAUAAUGGAAUAGGACCUCGGUUCUAUUUUGUUGGUUUUCGGAACACGAGGUAAUGAUUAAGAGGGACAGACGGGGGCAUUCGUAUUGCGACGCUAGAGGUGAAAUUCUUGGACCGUCGCAAGACGAACUACUGCGAAAGCAUUUGCCAAGAAUGUUUCCAUUAAUCAAGAACGAAAGUUAGAGGUUCGAAGGCGAUCAGAUACCGCCCUAGUUCUAACCAUAAACGAUGCCAGCUGGUAAUCCGUCUGCGUUCCUCAUAUGACGCGACGGGCGACUUCCGGGAAACCAAAGCCUUUGGGUUCCGGGGGAAGUAUGGUUGCAAAGCUGAAACACAAGUGAGGCUCCAUGCGUC
rnacentral:rRNA from 1 species